CUGAGCAACUGAACUGAACUGAUGUGUGUGUGUGUGAGCUGAACUAGCAUCCUAUACACUAUUUCAUGUUAGUCAGAGAUCCACACCCAAGGAUGAGUGUUGGAAGUAUAUCAGAAAAAUGAAAUUCCAAUUUGAUUCUGGAUGUGGCUAUCAUAAGCAGGUUUGUGGCAAAAAUCCCUACUCAAUGCCAGACUUUAGUUAAUGACAAAUCUGUCUAUAAAUUAGUAGUUUGUUAAUUAGCAUAAGGGCUGUUUGGCAGGGAUGUUUAUUUAGAGCAUUUAGCUAGAACUUUUUUGAGACCUCCGGACUCUCCUGGUUAGAGGGCACAAGAAUCCAGCAAGGGUAGUAGAUUUUACAUCAGGGUUGACAACCAAGGAUUAAUAUCUAAAAGGCCUUUAAAAGCCUUAUAGCCAGUCCUUGGCUUUGAUCACGGUUUCUCAACCUCGGCACUGUUGACAUUUGGGGCUGGCUAAGUCUUUGUCUUGCAGGGGGUUUCCUGUGCCUUUCAAGACGUUUAGUGACAUCCUUGAUCUACAUUCACCAGAUGCCAGGGGAAGCCCUCUUUCCUCUCCUCUUGUUUGGUCAACUCAUGAUGUCUCCAGAUACUGACAGAUGUCCACUGUGGGGAGCGGUGGGCUCAAAACUGCCCCAGUUGAGGAAGACUAGUUGAAAGGGUAUAGUGACUUGGGACCAGCUAUAAGGACAAUAAAGUUCUGAAAUGGGUUGUUAUCAUGUCCAUCUUCAGUAAAUCUUUCAUAGAUGGAUUGAGAUCACUUUAAAGCAGAGGUACCCAGCCUCUUUGGCACCAGGGCCCAGUGUCAAGGAAGACAGUUUUUCCACACACUGGUGAGGGGUUGGUUUUGGGAUGAUUCAAGCCCGUUACACUUGCUGCGCAUGUUUUUUCUAAUCUAGUGUUGCUGCUGGUCUGACAGGAGGUGACAGUUCAUGGCCCAGAGGUUGGGGCCCUGCCUUAAAGGAUGGAGUCCUAAGGUGUCUUUGGGCUCACAAAACAGGUCCCCUGAGCUUUUCUGUGCUUACUUGCUAAUAAAUGUUUAUAUCUAUAGCUACAUAGUAGUUAACUGGGGGAAUAGAUUUGUUUGAUUAUGUGGGUUAAUGACUUUGAGUUAAUGAGUUCUUCUACCUUGAGCUUCUUGGUGUUUACCAUUGUCUACCAUACAGGACCUAUGGACUGUGACCGAAUUGCCUCUGGUCAGUUCUCAUCAGCGUGGACCGUGACAAAUAACUGAUUUGGUUGGAAGAUGGACCCCUUUCAGGGCCCAAGAGUGGGCUCUUGUCUAGCACUAGAAAGUGAGCUGUCCGAGAAGACGAGGAGACGCGUGCUGACCAAGCAAGAGGUUUUAUUGGGGAGGGUCACCCAGGUGGACCGCUCUGCCACGUGGCUUGCAGACCCAGGUUUUAUGGUGGUGGGACUCGUUUCUGGGUUGUCUCUGGCCAAUCACUCUGACCCAGGGUCCCUCCUGGUGGUGCACGCAUCCAUCAUUCAGCCAAGAUGGAUUCCAGUGAGAAGGAUUCUGGGCAGACGUAUGGACCGGCAUCUCCCUUUGACCUUUCCCGGACUGUUCCAGUUGGUGGUGGCUUGUUAGUUCCAUGUUUCUUACCAGGACCUCCCGUCGUAAAAUAAUUCACCCGAAUGGUUACUGUGGUGCCUGGCCUGGAGGAUGGCUUCUGUCAGCGUUUGCCCUGACAUGACUGUAGGUCUCAAGAGGACACAAGGCUGAGACUUUGCCUCUGCUCACCCCCUCCUGACCCCCGCACACCCCCGUGCCCUCCAGAGUCUCUGGAGUUCAUCCACACUUUCUACCAAAUGGAACCAAGUGCAUGCUCAUCACAAAAUACAGCAUCCGUCUGCAGUUUUAAAGUGCCCCGGGGACUCUAUACAGACCCCUAAACUAAGCUGGAAUCCCCCAGGAUUUCCCCACCUCCGUCUCCCUGAGAAUCCUCCAGGGGAGCUGCUUCUGCAGUCAAGUAACUUUUCAGGGCAGCGGGGUUCCGCUUUCCUCAGCAGAGGCCCCCAGCCCAGCGCUUCUUUGCAAAUCGUUCUCCUUCGCAUCAGCUCCACCAGGCGGCUUUCCGCAGGGAGGCCCUCUGCGGUCCUGUCCUGAGGUCCCCGGGGGCUCUGUGCUUGCUCUCUCCCGAGGGGAAAGUUAACGGCUUCAUUGUGUCUAUGCGGGAUCCUUAAUGAAUGGACCUGAAUAAUUCAAGACAGGAUGUCAGUGAAGAGGACACAGCCAACACCUGGGCUGGACAAAGAUUUCUUUGGCUGCUUUGGGGGCGGGGGCAGGGAUGCUCAGUCUUCAUUUUACCAUAUUGUGUUCCCAGCUGCAAACAGUCCAAAAGACAGAGGCAGGCUCUUUCCCUUUUGAGGAGACAACUGCGGCUGUCAGGGGUGUGUGUGUGUGUGUGUGUGUGUGUGUGUGUGUGUGUGUGUGUGUGUGUGUGUUUGUGUUUCCUUGCCAAGGCAAAUUCAGAUGAUAAAUCCGGCACCUUCAAAAAGA